AAAAACUUAGGCUAUAAGACCAGGGGCCUUCAAAGCCCCAAGCAGAGGUGAAACCCUCUAGUUUUUG
rnacentral:tRNA from 1 species